AGCCUUCAGCAAAAUUAGUAUUGAAGGUACUGCCUGCCCAGUGAAAUUUUUUAACGGCCGCGGUAUUCUAACCGUGCAAAGGUAGCGUAAUCACUUGUCUCCUAAAUAGAGACUAGUAUGAACGGCUAAAUGAGAAUAAGCCUGUCUCCUACAGCUAAUCAGUGAAACUGAUCUCCCAGUCCAAAAGCUGGGAUAUAGACAUAAGACGAGAAGACCCUGUGGAGCUUAAAAUACAACACCAAUACGAACUAUUACUUAGUGUUUUAUUUUAAGUUGGGGCGACUUCGGAAAAAAACAAAACUUCCGAGCACAGAACCACUAACUCUUUCUAAGGCUAACAAGCCAAAGAAUCAAAUUGACCCAGUCCUACUGAUCAACGAACCAAGUUACCCCAGGGAUAACAGCGCUAUCUUCUUCAAGAGUCCAUAUCGACAAGAAGGUUUACGACCUCGAUGUUGGAUCAGGACACCCCAGUGGUGCAGCCGCUAUUAAAGGUUCGUUUGUUCAACGAUUAACAGUCCUACGU
rnacentral:rRNA from 1 species